GACGAACGCUGGCGGCGCGCCUAACACAUGCAAGUCGAGCGAUGAAAUUUUAACCGAUCUCUUCGGAGAGAAGAUAAAAUGGAUUAGCGGCGGACGGGUGAGUAACACGUGAGAAACCUGCCUUUCACAAGGGGAUAGCCUCGGGUAACCGGGAUUAAUACCCUAUGACACAUUUCCUUCGCAUGGACGAAAUGUUAAAACUCCGGUGGUGAAAGAUGGUCUCGCGCCUGAUUAGCUAGUUGGUGGGGUAACGGCCCACCAAGGCAAUGAUCAGUAACCGGGAUGAGAGGGUGGAUGGUCACAUUGGAACUGAGAAACGGUCCAAACUCCUACGGGAGGCAGCAGUGGGGAAUAUUGCACAAUGGAGGAAACUCUGAUGCAGCGAGGCUGCGUGAGCGAUGAAGGCUUUCGAGUCGUAAAGCUCUGUCAUAUGGGAAGAUAAUGACGGUACCAGAGGAGGAAGCCCCGGCUAACUACGUG
rnacentral:rRNA from 1 species